CGUCCAGUCGUCACCACUCUGUCCAAAAAUCGAGCUCGUUAUUAUUUUUAAUCAGUGUCUUUGUUUUCAAAUAUAAUGAAUUAAUGCUAACCGCCUUGAAACUGGAGGCAGGAAAGAACAAAUAACCGUUUUAAAAUUGUGUCAUUUGUCUGACGUUUAUCAAUUUUGAUUACUUGGUUAGACAAGUAAGAAAUUAGUACUAAUUAUUAAAAUGUUUUCUUGAAUACUGAUCCAGGUUUUCAUCGAUAAUCUUAAACCAAACAUGUUCGAAUGUAAUUAGCUGACUCGGAAGUCGGAAAGGAAUGUGAAUGUGGCAAGUCUGGCAACUGGCAACAGCCAUCAGCCAAGAGCCAACAUGUUUGUCAUUAAAGAUUAAAGCAAAUGGAGCUAGAGGGGGCUACAGUGGGCUUUUGAAUACGGGGACCAAAAACUUUGAAUGCUGCCCGUGGCUAUCAGAACCUUUCGUCGGAUUGAAUCUUCUUCAGAUUACCGGCUUACGAUUGAGCAUCGUCGCGAACAGCAGCAUGUAUGUAGCAAAAUAAGCAAAAUAUUUUGCUUGAAUGAGAUUUUCCUAAUGUUCUUAACAUUAUAUUUUGCAUAAGGAUUUUGUCUAUUCUAGUCAAAAUGUUGAAAAUCUAACUUUGACCAUUUUAGCAUCAGGUUUGUCAAAAGUUUAAUCUUAUCCUAUAUUGGUGGAAUUCCUUUGAGUAAAAAUUGUGAAGAGAUGCAAUCAAAAAUUGGUAAAUGUAACAUAUAUAAUUAUAUAUAAUUGGAAAAUUUCAUGUAUUUACAUCCUCAAAAUAGUCAGCACAUAAAGUUGAUAUGAUUUUCUA